rnacentral:rRNA from 1 species
UUCGGACUGGAGUCUGCAACCCGACUCCACGAAGUUGGAUUCGCUAGUAAUCGCGCAUCAGCCAUGGCGCGGUGAAUACGUUCCCGGGCCUUGUACACACCGCCCGUCAAGCCAUGGGAGCCGGGGGCGCCUGAAGUUCGUGACCGCAAGGAGCGACCUAGGGCAAAACUGGUGACUGGGGCUAAGUCGUAACAAGGUAUC